AUACGUAUGGGGCGAGCGUUGUCCGGAAUGAUUGGGCGUAAAGGGUACGUAGGCGGUUAAUUAAGUCGAGUGUGAAAGGUUGGGGCUCAACCCCAUAAAGCAUUCGAAACUGGUUAACUUGAGAUGUGGAGAGGAAAGUGGAAUUCCUAGUGUAGCGGUGACAUGCGUAGAUAUUAGGAGGAAUACCAGUAGCGAAGGCGACUUUCUGGACACAUACUGACGCUGAGGUACGAAAGCGGGGGGAGCAAACAGGAUUAGAUACCCUGGUAGUCCACGCCGUAAACGAUGAAUGCUAGGUGUCGGGGGUCAAACCUCGGUGCCGCCGCUAACGCAUUAAGCAUUCCGCCUGGGGAGUACGGCCGCAAGGCUGAAACUCAAAGGAAUUGACGGGG
rnacentral:rRNA from 1 species